rnacentral:lncRNA from 1 species
GAAAAUUAGCUUUGUUACAGAGUCAUCCAUGACUCAGUUAUGCAUAAAGAUCUUUCUUAAAGUUGUAUUCUAAGUCAAAAUGCUGAAGCUGUAAUGACAUUUUCUUCUGUUUUCCCACAGAAAAGAAUAAGUCAAACAUUCAAAAAAUGGCUAUUGAGCAUCGUGUGGUCCUGGACGCGUGGGCACAGCCGCGGAACGAGAGGACUGGGAAAAGCCGGAGAUGCUGAAGCUGAAAGCUAGCUAAUAUAUUAGCCAAAACAGCUAGCAUGUAGCUAAAAAAUAGCUAAAAAAACAGCUGAACUUCAAAAUAGUAUAAAAAAAUGAAAAAAUUGCCAAUAAUCCAAAAAGCUAGCAGAAUGCCA